UUAAUACAUGCAAGUCGCACGGGCAUCUUUCGGGGUGUCAGUGGCGGACGGGUGAGUAACGCGUAGGGAUUUAUCCAUGGGUGGGGAUAACCGCGGGAAACUGCGGCUAAUACCGCAUGAAGCCUGAGGGCCAAAGCUGCUGGGGUGACCUGGUGGUGCCUGUGGAGGAGCCUGCGUUCGAUUAGCUUGUUGGUGGGGUAAAGGCCUACCAAGGCGAUGAUCGAUAGCUGGUCUGAGAGGAUGGUCAGCCACACUGGGACUGAGACACGGCCCAGACUCCUACGGGAGGCAGCAGUAGGGAAUAUUGGACAAUGGGCGCAAGCCUGAUCCAGCAAUGCCGCGUGUGUGAAGAAGGUCUUCGGAUUGUAAAGCACUUUCGACGGGGACGAUGAUGACGGUACCCGUAGAAGAAGCCCCGGCUAACUUCGUGC
rnacentral:rRNA from 1 species